AACGUAGGAGACGAACGUUAUCCGGAGUUACUGGGCGUAAAGGGCGUGUAGGCGGUUUGUUAAGUCUGGCGUGAAAGCUCUCGGCUAAACCGGGAGAGGUCGUCGGAUACUGGCGAACUAGAGGAUGGUAGAGGCGUGUGGAAUUCCGGGUGUAGUGGUGAAAUGCGCAGAUAUCGGGAAGAACACCCGUGGCGAAGGCGGUUCUCUGGGACGGUACUGACGCUGAGACGCGAAAGCGUGGGGAGCGAACAGG
rnacentral:rRNA from 1 species